CAUGCACUGGUGGGGUCCCUCAGCCUGGCCUGCGCCCUCUCGCAACCCAGGACCCAAUUUCGGCCCAAUCCCGCAGGCCAGGCUGAGGGACUGCACUGGUGCACG
rfam:Myotis lucifugus cont2.27269, whole genome shotgun sequence.